UGUAAAUUACGUCAUAUCCGUUUAGUCGAGUUGAAGCUUAAGCCCGGGAAGCCGACUACAUGUUGUCUGCGUUAAAUCCGUGUCCAUCAGUCUGUAAAUAUGAAAUAUUUGUGGGUUUUGAUGCAUUAUUCUGGUAGAACAAACUGAAUGUGGUAGUUUUGUUUUGUUAUUGGUGUUUUCCGAAGAUGUUAAGGCGAUAAAAUUGUUAGGCCAUCAGCAGUAGUAUACUAUGGAAGACUUCGGGUCACAUGGGGUGGAGAACAUACCGCAGGAGGAAGGGUAGCAGUUUCAUCGACAGGCAAGUUUGAACGCAAAGGCUGACGAUUGCUGCCAGAAGAUGAACAUCUAGGCACUUCAAAUGGUCCUUUCUGAAAGGCCUCCGUAUGGGUCAUGUGACCUACAUGGCUACCUGCAUAGCUGGAAGCUUCAGCAUUUCAGGCUUCAUCCAGAGACGCUUUGAUGAAGGAGAGUUUGUGCUGGAAGUUUGAAGAAUCUAUCAUCUGAUAAACGUUUGUUUAAGCUGCACACAAUCCAAUCUUUUGUUUUGUUCAUCGUGUGGCAGUGAAAGAAUUAACAUCUUAUGGAUUCAUCAGCAAUUCUGUAAAGUCCAAUAUGAAGGAUGUAUCAAGAUAGAUAUUGUCCUGAUUUGUCACAAAUCUGUUUGGAUCUGGAAGGAGAUUUUCUUUGCAGUGAAUUCAGGAUCUUUUUGUAAUCGCUCAGUUUUAUUACAGAGAUUCUGCAUAGUGACUCAUGUCUUUUCCCACUCCAUAGCAGAAUGUUCAUCCUCUGAGCCACUCAUUCCUCUGCAGGGGAAUUGUCUUUGUUUACAUGUCACCAAAGAUGUGCAAAACCCUCAAAUCUAGGUGUUAGUUUUGCACCACAAUAGGACAGACCCGUGUUGUUAGUUAGAGUUCCUCUUCAUCACAAAACGGUUUAACAAAGCCAGGUUUCUGCCUGUCUGCUCGCCGUUUCGCCCUUGGCUAGUUUAGCCGUGCUCCCUGUGACUUGUUCGGUGUGUUUUUGCAAAAAUCAUUUUGAUUUUAUUUAUUUAUCUGUUCUUGUUUUUUUUUUAUAUAUGUAUCUGUGGGGGUUCCCUUGUGGUGCCUUGUUAUCCAGAUUAUUGUGUUUUGUGGAUUUCUUGAUGUAUUUAUUUGGUAGACCAAGUUGUAGCGGUCACCAGAGAUGCUGAAGCAAGUCCAUUGUUUGUAACUGACAAAAAUAAAUACCUACUUCCUCGCUCUA